rnacentral:lncRNA from 1 species
UCCAAAGUCUCUGGGAACUUGUUCUAAUGCAACCCAAUAUGUGUUUUUUGACAGUGUUCAUCCAUCUCAGGCUGCUAAUCAGGUUCUUGCAGAUGCUCUGCUUGUUCAGGGAUUCUCCCUUCUCUGAAGAGAAUAAAUUACAUCAGUAUAAAAAUCAAUUAUUUAUAAGUGUAAUAUAUCACUUGAAAGUGCUAUUACCUUUCCACUAUUGUCUAUUAUGAAACUUAAUUCUCUACUGUGAGAAGUUUAGUGCAAAAUCAUCUUUUGAAUAUUUUUGCUAGCUCG